AUGACGGCCAAAUUUCGGCAAGCUCGAGCCCCCACAUACUAUGGCACUGCCACCAAUGCAAGUGUGACCCGUGUGUACCUAUUAGACAACCACCACGCCACUGGAUCAUCCUGGAACCUCGAGUUCGUCAAGGGCUUCCAAUCUAUGCGAGUCGUACAAGUUACACCAACCAAUGAAGCAGUAUGCGCCAUGAUAAUCCUUCAACAUUUCGCAAAUUAUCCAGAUGAGUACAUUCUACGGUGCGCCUUCGUCAUAGGCCUUGUCAAGAAGAUGGAAGAAAGAGGUCACAUGAAGCUAGCAAUGAAGAAGAAAUCUCAACUCGUGAGAGGAGAGAACACAAAGGAUUCAAAGGAGGGGGUGAGAAUGAUGAGAAAAAGGUUUGAGGAGGAACCAGAAGAAAAAGAUGAUGUUGAGGGGGAGGUUGAAGUUGGCGAGGAACAUAUUUCGAGGACCUCGCUACAACAAGUCACAUUGGAAGUUGAUUCAGGGGAAGCCAUCAUGUGCUUUGUUGAGUAUACGUAUGAGACACAUGAUGGCACACAAAUGAUUCAUGGAAUAAUUCUGCAAAAUGGUUCACAUACUGUCCUCGGCAACGCCGCAAAUGAAAGAGAGGCGUUCCUUACCAAUGAUUGUGUACAGUUCAAAGUAGGUGACAUGAGUGAAUCAGUUACUGUCAACUUCCAGCUGGUUCCCUGGGAUCACAAGUGCAGAAAAGAUCAGCUGGAAGCUAUUAGGGUGGAGAGGGCCAAGGAAGAGGAUAGGAAGAAGAAAGGUUUGCCUGUGGAGUAUAUCUGCAAAAGCCUAUACUGUCCUGGGAAAGGUGCCUUUUUCUCCCUCCCUUAUGAGAAAAUGGGCGCCGAAACCGGCGCUUGGAGUUCAUGUGAGGAGCGAGAAGCGGUCCGAGAUGAGUUCAAAAUACUGUCAGAGAUCAGCUUUGUCCUCAACAAUGUCGCAUACCAUAUUCAUGACUUGAUGUAUAUCCGUCCUGAGUUUUUAUCUCCCGUCGAGGGUCAUGGGACCUACAGGGCUGGAAGAAAUAUGGUCUUGGAGCCCUAUGUGGGUCCUAAAGACCUGGCACGCAAUACUAACAAACUCACCCGUCUACUCCUCAGGGCCUUGGCUUCAGCUUGCCGUUUCACACGGCGGCAUGCCGAUUCACACGACACCAGGCAUCUCACCAUCUACAUUGCUUCACACGAUCUGGCAUCUCGCCUUGCACACUUGCUGCUCCAAGACUCCUACCCAUGA
rnacentral:rRNA from 1 species